AACACAGAAACAAUCCUGGUAGACUGUGUGUCUCCCUCCCAGGACUUCCAACCGAUGGGACGUACAGAUAACUCGGCAAUUAUAGCAACUGUGAUAAACACCAAGUUGGGAAACAGGGCAGGCGCUGUAUUAAGAGCAAGUGAGAUGAGGUCGCCUUCGCUCUGGGACGUCAAGGGAGGCUCCCUCCAGACCGGAGAUCUAAGCUGGACAUGAUCUAAGCUGGACCAGAUAAAUAUUACCUCGCUGAAAUGCAGAGUGCGCUCUACGCGUACUGGGCUUUUUUUCCUGGGCUUUUCCUAUACAUGGAAACCGCGGCUACAGCCAACUUAGGCAGGUAACUGUUGAGGUUACCCAGGCAGGGUAACCUCAGUGAGAACAAAGAUAAGGACAGAAACAUCGGGUACGUUUUCCUUUCAGGAACACGCAGAAGGGACCAAAGGGAGCCUGGAGAAGGAAGGAACACUUAGAGGCGAAGGACCAAGAAGAGCUGGCGAACGUGGUGAGGAAGCUGCUGCUGACCACUCUGGAGCAGGGGCUUCUGAUGAGCCAAUCAGACACUGUUUGAUGAACUAGACUGGAAGUGCCCAGGUCGGGGGAAGGGAGCUCAGCAGGCCGCUCUCCAACUGUCCAAACAGCGCCCAGCCGAGGGGAGUCAAAGUGAAAACUGUUAUUCAAGGCUCUGAGUCAAAUCCAUACUUUUUUUAGAUACAAAACGAACACCACCAUUGACAGAAUCACCAUCUUGCAAAACCCCAUAAAGAGGCUACAAGGGAUCAAUGCUGUGCUUCAUGUCACGUGGAGGAUUCCAUUUUCUCCCCCAAGGAUAUGCUGGCUGCGCUGAAGGGGACACGCCCAGCGAUGACCUCAAACUUCAGCCAGCCAUCCAAUUCUUAAUUGGAAACACAGGGCUGUGCAGCUUGCUGCCAACCAACACAAUACAGGAGAAUCACAAACUCAGAUCCCAAAUCAUCGAGUUCGUCUCAAAAGGAGCAACUUUCAAGCUAAGUUUCCUUUCCUGUGUCUGCGAGGCCUCUCUGCUAUGGAAAUGGACCUGUGAGUUUUCUUCAGUCUCCAAGCUCCUGCUGCCAGACUGAAUCUACAACGUUGGUCAUGUGAGUUUUAUGACUUUUCUGAAGAUAUUAUAAGGAGAACUCUGACGUGUCCACUGCUGAGGUGAGGAGAAAUACCCACAUUUCCUGCACCACUGUCACCUGUCCAGUGCCCCCACAAACAGCGAAAGAAUCUAACAUCAUGAAGCCUUUUCUUAGGCAAGUUACUGUGCACACUUAUGCCAAGAUAUUCUGUGACAACUGGAAAGAGGUUUGUUUAAAAGUCAAAGGGAUUCCUAACACAGAGGUGAGAGGUAAAGAUCUGAAGCACAUUUAAGACUGAACUUUGUCACAGUAUCAUGGGCACCAGCCAUGCAUGGCCUGACCAUGAACUCCAAAGUCACAUGCGCAUACAGCUAUAAAUAUGUAUCCUUCACCCCAGGCGUCUUUAUGAUUUGGAAGGGUUUAAAAGCCUGUACUAUCUAACAAUAAAUGUGACAGUCCAUUUGGUUGUGUUUUCCAUUACAGCUGACGGGGCAAAGGGUUCAACAGACCCUGUUGGUACUGGUUUCUCCUAAUGAUCCCUGUCCUAGUCUGCCAUUAGCACAACUUAAAGAAAACCUCACUCUUGUUCAAAUGGCUACGUAAGGCAGAAAGGGAAACUUUUACAAGGUUAUAAUUGUGUCUGAUGUCAGUCACUCACCUGCCAAAACCAGUCAACAUUGACGAACAUCUCAGGUACUGUACUUGAAGGAGAGUUAAUGAAUUGACUGAGACAGCUCUCACCAUGCAGCCCUGGCUGGCCUGGAGCUCCAUGUGUGGAACAGGCUGGCCUUAAACUUACGCCCCGCCCGUACCUGCCUCCCAAAGUGCUGGGAUUAAAGGCGUGUGCUGCACCCAUGUUUGAAUUUGUGUUCUUGUACAAUACACUGUGGCACAGGCUCU